rnacentral:lncRNA from 1 species
CAGAGAACAUCGUGUGGAUGACUCAGGAAGACAGUGUAAAAGUAUUAAUUUUGAAGAAGCAAGUACAGAUGAAGCUCAGGUUCCCCAAGGAAAUAUUGACCAGGUUGCUGUUGUGGCCAUCAAUGUUCUGUUUUUUGUGACUCUAUUUAUCUUUGCCCUUUUUGAAACCAUCAUUACUCCAUUAACAAUGGAUAUGUAUGCCUGGACUCAAGAACAAGCUGUGUUAUAUAAUGGCAUAAUACUUGCUGCUCUUGGGGUUGAAGCCGUUGUUAUUUUCUUAGGAGUUAAGUUGCUUUCCAAAAAAUUUGCACAAUAAUUCAAUCCCUAAUACCACAUUUGGGGAAAUUAUUAUUGGUCUUUGGAAGUCUCCAAUGGAAGAUGACAAUGAAAGACCAACUGGUUGCUCGAUUGAACAAGCCUGGUGCCUCUACACCCCGGUGAUUCAUCUGGCCCAGUUCCUUACAUCAGCUGUGCUAAUAGGAUUAGGCUAUCCAGUCUGCAAUCUUAUGUCCUAUACUCUAUAUUCAAAAAUUCUAGGACCAAAACCUCAGGGUGUAUACAUGGGCUGGUUAACAGCAUCUGGAAGUGGAGCCCGGAUUCUUGGGCCUAUGUUCAUCAGCCAAGUGUAUGCUCACUGGGGACCACGAUGGGCAUUCAGCCUGGUGUGUGGAAUAAUAGUGCUCACCAUCACCCUCCUGGGAGUGGUUUACAAAAGACUCAUUGCUCUUUCUGUAAGAUAUGGGAGGAUUCAGGAAUAAACUAGCUAAGACUGUGAUGGAAACUACUUGCUGUGUGGCACUUCCUGGUCUAAAGCUCUGCUAGACAAUUGCGGUGAGCCAGUCUCCAAGAAUCAGACUACAGAUAUUGCAGAUUUUGAAGAACAAGAACAUAUGUUGAAUAACAGAGAGAAUUCUACAUGUCAUUGUGAAUAGUUGGGUGCAGUGUCUCAUGCCUGUAAUCCCAGCACUUUGGAAGGCCAAGGCAGGAGGAUUGCUUGAGGCCAGGAAUUCAAGACCAGCCUGGGAAACAAAGUGAGACCCUGUCUUUACAAAAAAUAAAAACAAAAAUUUAAAACU